rnacentral:rRNA from 1 species
UACGUAGGGGGCUAGCGUUGUCCGGAAUCAUUGGGCGUAAAGCGCGUGUAGGCGGCCCGGUAAGUCCGCUGUGAAAGUCGGGGGCUCAACCCUCGGAUGCCGGUGGAUACUGUCGGGCUAGAGUACGGAAGAGGCGAGUGGAAUUCCUGGUGUAGCGGUGAAAUGCGCAGAUAUCAGGAGGAACACCAGUGGCGAAGGCGGCUCACUGGACCGGAACUGACGCUGAGGCGCGAAAGCGUGGGGAGCAAACAGG